rnacentral:rRNA from 1 species
AGAGUUUGAUCCUGGCUCAGGAUGAACGCUAGCGGCAGGCCUAACACAUGCAAGUCGAGGGGCAUCACGAGGUAGCAAUACUUUGGUGGCGACCGGCGCACGGGUGCGUAACGCGUAUGUAACCUACCUAUAACAGGGGCAUAACACUGAGAAAUUGGUACUAAUUCCCCAUAAUAUUCGGAGAGGCAUCUCUCCGGGUUGAAAACUCCGGUGGUUAUAGAUGGACAUGCGUUGUAUUAGCUAGUUGGUGAGGUAACGGCUCACCAAGGCAACGAUACAUAGGGGGACUGAGAGGUUAACCCCCCACACUGGUACUGAGACACGGACCAGACUCCUACGGGAGGCAGCAGUGAGGAAUAUUGGUCAAUGGGCGGGAGCCUGAACCAGCCAAGUAGCGUGAAGGAUGACGGCCCUACGGGUUGUAAACUUCUUUUAUAAGGGAAUAAAGUUCGCCACGCGUGGUGUUUUGUAUGUACCUUAUGAAUAAGCAUCGGCUAAUUCCGUGCCAGCAGCCGCGGUAAUACGGAAGAUGCGAGCGUUAUCCGGAUUUAUUGGGUUUAAAGGGAGCGUAGGCGGGCUUUUAAGUCAGCGGUCAAAUGCCACGGCUCAACCGUGGCCAGCCGUUGAAACUGCAAGCCUUGAGUCUGCACAGGGCACAUGGAAUUCGUGGUGUAGCGGUGAAAUGCUUAGAUAUCACGAAGAACUCCGAUCGCGAAGGCAUUGUGCCGGGGCAUAACUGACGCUGAGGCUCGAAAGUGCGGGUAUCAAACAGGAUUAGAUACCCUGGUAGUCCGCACGGUAAACGAUGAAUGCUCGCUAUGGGCGAUACAAUGUCCGUGGCCAAGCGAAAGCGUUAAGCAUUCCACCUGGGGAGUACGCCGGCAACGGUGAAACUCAAAGGAAUUGACGGGGGCCCGCACAAGCGGAGGAACAUGUGGUUUAA